UUGUAUUUCUCAUAUUUAUAUCACAAAUUAGGAAGAACUUGGCUAGAAAUAGCUAAGGUUCUGCUGAGAAGAGGAUUUAACUGGGAAUGUGCUCUUGGAAUUUCUGAAUUUGAAGAAGUAUGAUUGCUGAAAGCAUACCAAGUGUUUAAAAGGACUAACUCAUGAGAUGAUAUGACGCCUGGGCAGCACCAGAAUUGUUAAAAAUGGACUGACAGAAAUGUAUCUGUAGUGACUCUUUUCCUACUUCAGCCUUCAAAGGAACACAGGUUAUGCUUCCUCUCCAGGUGAGAUGACUUGGGAAUCUGCAGGGAAAGGAGACUUUGCAUGUGUAAGGCUGAAGAACCUUUACCAGGAAACUUGAAAAACAAAAUCUCAAAUCAACAAAAACAAAACAAAACAGAAAGGAUUUUCUGAAGACAAAAUUAUUUAUUGUAUAUAUGGUUAGAUGAAAGUUGCCCAUGGGGUUUCUGACCUCAAUGCAAUUUUAUGCUUUCAAUGGAUUGUUGACGUGGAAAAAGGUCUUAAUGAAGCAGAAACCACAUUUCAUGCCUUUGGUCCAGAAGAAGGGGCUGGCUGACACGGAAAUAAUAUGCCUCAGGAAACAAAUUUAUUUUUCAAGACUUCUGAGGCAGUUGUAUCGGUGCUAUAUAGCAUUUA